rnacentral:lncRNA from 1 species
CGUAACUAUAGUAGCAAGUCACGUAAUAAGAGGUCUUAAAUUCAACUAACAUGAAUGAUAGGUGAAUUGGUGAUAAUUUACUAUACAAAUAUUUUUAGUCUCUCUCCACUAUAUAUAUAUAAGGACAUUUUUUGACACACAUAUCUUAGGGCCUACUCCAUAAUGUAUUUCAACGAUUCGAACUAUCUAUCUCCACCAAAUAUCAUCCAAGUCCAAAACAUGUAUAACUGUUGGACUACAUGCUAAUUAUUUUAGUAUUUCUUUUUAGAAUGUAUUCGUCCAUUUUCUUCACUACAAAUGAAUGUAUUAAUGAUUUUGAAUUUGUCUAAUUUUAUGCAAGAAUGGUCUAUAAAUGAGUGUCAAAAACUUAACGGAGUGAGCCCUAGGAAAAUGUCAUAAUAUGUGUCAAAAAAUGUGUAUCCCCCAUCUGAGUCAUAUAAAAUCAUACGUGGAUACAUAGUAUGAGAAUAAUUUAAUAGGAAAAUUAAUGAAAAGGGAUUCAAAACUUUGAGUUUUAACCAAAAGACACCUAAUAACUUUAAUUUAAUGAUAAGGACAAGAUAUUAAAAAAAAAGAAAAAAAAAAAACUUGUUCAACCCAAAGUGCAUGUGCACGCAAGUAGUGCGAAAGCAAGCAUCUACCAAUUCAACAGAAAACUAACAAUGCAAAAGCAGCACACAAAUUACUUUUUAAAUAUUUCAUCGAGAAGGAAAAGGUUUAGAGAGAGAGAGAGACUGUGAGGGUAGAGAGAAAAGAAUGUCAACCAAAUCUAUUCAAACUGAUAUCAACAAACCCCAAAAAAAAAUUAGAGAGAGAAAUUUGAGAUAAAAAUAUAUAUUGCUGACAUCAAUACAUGACUACCACUUAGCCUUACACGUGGGGUAGCAUCUCAUCAUCACCCUAUGUUCAAAUUAUGGAAUUCAUUAUUAAUUUUAACCCUAACCAGCUAAAACCUAAAAAUAAAAAAUAUUAGAUUAUGAUCCUCAAUGCAAGCACAUUAGCCUUUCUAAUCUUUCAUGCUUUUGUUGUUAAUUUUGUAUUGAAUAAAUUAAAGGAAAGUCAAAUAAAUUGUUCAAAGAAAUGUUAAAGAACAAAUAGGAAUGUGAAAGUCAUUAUUCUAACUCUAUAAGAAUAUAAAUAUUAUUGUCAGUGAUUCAUAUGAUAUUGAGAAGAGAGUUUCAAAUUUUGAACCUUUCAGUGUUCAAUUUAUAAAAGUCGAUGUUCAGUUUAAAAAAUAGUGAUAAUGCUAGUGUUCAAUUUUAAGAAAUAGUCAGUGUUUAGUUUACGAAAUAGUUAGUUUUUGGUUUAAGAAAUGGUUAGCAUUUAGUUUACGAAAUAGUGAUAGUACUACUUUACAAAAUAGUGAUAAUACUAGUGUUUGGUUUAAGAAAUAAUCAGUGCUUAGUUUACGAAAUAGUGAUAGUACUAUUACUUGGUUUAAUAAAUAGUCUAUUUAGUUUACGAAAUAGUGAUUGUACUAGUUUACGAAAUAGUGAUAGUACUAGUGUUAAGUUUAAGAAAUAUUCAGUGUUUAGUUUACAAGGUUUUCAGUUUAAGAAAUAGUCAGUGUUUAGUUUAUGAAAUAGUAAUAGUACUAGUGUUCAGUUUAAGAAGUAGUUAGUGUUCAAUUUACAAAAUAGUCAACGUUCAGUUUAAGAAAUAGUGAUAGUAUUACUGUUUCAUUUAAGAAAUAGUCAGUGUUUAGUUUAAGAAAUAUUAUUCAGUUUAAGAAGUAGUCAAUAUUCAUUUUAAGAAAUAGUGUUCGGUUUAAGAAGUAUAAUGUUCAGUUUAAGAAAUAGUGUUCAAAUUUAAGAAGUGGUCAAUGUUCUGUUUAAGAAAUAGUGACAGUAUUAGUGUUCAUAAAACUGAAUAAUAAAUAUUUUUUUCUUUGUUUUUGAUCUUGUAAUAUUAUUACUUAGUUUGUUCUAAAAAUUGAAAGAAUAGUCAAAUAAACAAGUAAUAAAAUAAAAAUAAAAAUAAAAUAUUUAUGGAGUGAGGUGAAAGGAGAGAGAAGAGUGGGGAGAGGUGAAAAAAAAGUUGAUGUGGAUGGGUGAGGUGAAAGAAGAGAGAAAAAUUGAUGGGAAUAUGUGAAAGAGGGAGAGGGAGAAAGAGGUUGAACGGUUGAGUGAGAGAGAGUGUGUGUGUAUGUGUGAGAUGUGACGUGUGGUCCAGCGCAUCACUAUUUGCUGAUUUUUUUUUUUUUUUUUUUUUUGUUAUUAUGUAAAUUUUUUGUCAUUUUCAUUAAAAUUUGAAUAAUUUUUAUUAAAAUUUAAGCCCUUUUUAUUAAAUAAAGUUAGUAGAUGGUUUUUGGUUAAUUAAAAGUUUUGAGAAGCCCUUCUCAUUAAAACUCCCUAAUUUAAUGUGAUGUCCACAAUACCAUGCAGCAUACAUGCUACGGCACUGUAGCGAAUAACUUAAAUUAUUCGGUGAUGUUAGAGAUAUUAAUUUUUGUUAUCAUCUUUUGUAGACCACAUGACCAUAUCAACCGUCACAUUAUGCGAUCUACAAAAGAUGGUCUAAAAUUUGAUCUCCCUAUCAUUUUUCUAAAUAUUAACAUGUGUAGAAUUAUUAAAACUAACCUUAAAUCAAAAUCAUCAGACCUAUAGAGUUUUAUAAUCCCCCUUUUAUGAUUGUAUGGAGCUGGAUUUGGCUUUACAAUCGUGCUUUGUAUUGCAAAAAUGCUACUUUUGCAACAUUUUUCAUAUCAUAUUGGUACUACCACUUCUUUAACAGAGAUGAGAACUACAGUGUUGGUGGACCCUAUUUCUAUUAAAAAUGUAGCAUGAAUGUGAUAUGAAAAAUGUGGCAAGUGUACCAAUUUUUUUAGUUAAAAUACUAAAUUCUAAGCUGAAAUACCUUCUAGUUGAAAUGUCAAAUUUAUAACUUGGUUUAUUAAUAUUUGAAAAUAUAUAUGUAACGUGUAAUUAAGAGUUUGAAGUUAGACCUCACUGGGAAGCCACCCUGCAUGCGUAUUUUGAACUGGGGAACGGUGGCUGUUGGGAUGGGUCUUCAACAUUCUACUCGACAAUUUUUUCGGAAUCUCUUGAGCCACAACUAUAUUAUCAGCGAUAUGUGCCACCCAUUCCUGUGGAGCUACGAGGAUUAAUUUGUUUUGAUAUUUAAGUGGAAAUUACAUGGUUAAUGUCAAAAUGUGUUGACCAUAUAUAUAUAUAUAUAUAUAUAGGAGAAAUUAGGUUCUCAUAUUCCUUUUGCUACUCCAUUGAUUAAAAUCCUAUUUUUUUCAAUUUUUUAUCAAAGUCAUUGGAUAUUAAUAACAUCAUUAAUUAUUUCAAUAAUAAUUUUUUUUCUAAAUAUAUUCAUUUAAUGUUAAAAAUGUUACAAUUAGUAUAUUUAUAUUUAUGACUAAAUUUUUUAUCAUAUAUUUUUAGUUUUAGUAUGUACCCAUUUUUAAUUUGUAAUUCUUUUCUAACUUGUACCAAUUUUUUCUCAGUUUUAAUUUGUACCCAUAUAUUAAUUUCUUUUUGUGCCCAUGUUUUUAAAGUUUAUUUAUAUUUGUACCCCUAUAUUUUUUUUAUUUGUACUUUUUAUUUUGCUAAAUGUACCCAUGCUGAUUAUAUGUACCCAUUCAUGUAAAACUUUUGAAUCUUAAAAUGUAUUCAUUCGUAAAUAUACCAAUUUGUUAUAUGUAAAAUGUACCUUUUUUUUUAUAUAUAAAAUCUAUUCAAUUUUUUUUAAUCUAUUUUUAAACUUAUAUGGGUACAUUCUUUUUUCUUUGAUUUUAAAAUGUAUCCAUGUCAAGUUUAAUCGAAGAAAUUUACUAAUGUUAUUAAGCCUAAUAUCUUCUUCUUUUUUGUGAUUUAGAAGAAUGUAC